rnacentral:rRNA from 1 species
UAGGGAAUCUUCGGCAAUGGGGGCAACCCUGACCGAGCAACGCCGCGUGAGUGAAGAAGGUUUUCGGAUCGUAAAGCUCUGUUGUAAGAGAAGAACGUGUGUGAGAGUGGAAAGUUCACACAGUGACGGUAACUUACCAGAAAGGGACGGCUAACUACGUGCCAGCAGCCGCGGUAAUACGUAGGUCCCGAGCGUUGUCCGGAUUUAUUGGGCGUAAAGCGAGCGCAGGCGGUUUAAUAAGUCUGCAGUUAAAGGCAGUGCCGUAACACUUGUUCGCUGUGGAAACUGUUAAACUUGAGUGCAGAAGGGGAGAGUGGCAGUCCAUGUGUAGUGGUGAAAUGCGUAGUUGUAUGGAGGAACACCAGUGGCGAAGGCGGCUCUCUGGUCUGUAGCUGACGCUGAGGCUCGAAAGCGUGGGGAGCAGACAGG